rnacentral:tRNA from 2 species
GGGUUGUUAGCUCAGUUGGUAGAGCAUCUGACUUUUAAUCAGGUGGUCGCAGGUUCGAACCCUGCACAACCCACCA